CCAAGGUCUGCGGCAUUGCACAGAGCCUCUGAGUAGAGGAGAAGAUGAGAAUCAGAUCCCCUAGUCACAGGAGCAUCUCUGCAAAGGAAACAGCCACCAAAAAGCACAUUCUGCCUAUUGACAGGUAUUCUCAAAAAAAUCAAUCCACUCAUCAGAAGGAGAAAAGCUUAGUAAGCAGCUGCGGGAUAUGAGCCUCACUGAUGUUCCAUCUGAAAGUCAUCACCAGCCUCAAGGUUUCGUGGACAGAAGUCAUCAACAAUUCUGAAGUCUAGGACUGUAUCACGCAAGACCUUACUUCAACACCAGCAGGAACUCAGGACUGAAAUAACCUUUUACAAGGAAGCCUUCAGUAAAAGAUGUGCUUCAGGGAAAGGUUUACUGUCACAGCAAGACCAUCUAAAAGAAGAACAUCACCUGGGACCAGUAUAAAGCCUGGAAGUAUGACUGUAACCAUCCAUGUUUGGAAGCUUUUUGUAUGUUUGUAUGGAUAUGAGAGGAAACAGCAAUACUCAGAUCUUUUUUCCUUCAAUGUUUCAAUCUAGUGCUUUCAUCCUGCACUGCUCAAUUGUAACAGAAGAACAUACUUCCUUCACUACAACAGGCAGGACUGGCUUGCAGCAACAAUAUCCGCUUCAAUAAAUUUC